UUGUUUGAGGAGAAGUCUGUAGAAGACGAAACUGCAAAGGAAAAGGAGCUUCGGAUUUUAGGGUUUGGACUCUGUUUUUGCUUGCGAUGAUUUGAUUUGAACCUCUGAAACCAAAAACAACAGAGAAGAAUACUACGGGCCGGGUCACGGAUCUCUACAGCUACGUGUCGGGUUUUAUCUUCGCGUGGCUCGUUCCUUUUUUUCGUAGAAGGAUCCCGUAUAACCGGGAAUAGGAGAAUAUGAACCGUAUGACCAAUUUUUCUUUUUCAAAUGAAACCAUAAAAAACUUUGCACUUCAAUUUUAGACUUUUAGUUUCCAAUCUAGCUGAAUAAUAUUGGAACUUCUCGGUUAACCUAUGUCUUAUCACUUACGGAUAAAACUCAUG
rnacentral:lncRNA from 1 species